CAUUAAAAUCCAGAUUCCUGCAACUUCGUCUCAAUUCAUUUGCUUACCUAAUGUUAAAAUAAUGUAACGUAUUUUAAUACGAACACUGUGAACUAAAUUUAACCUUGGAGUUAAGCCCCAUUCAGAUAGGUGGUAGUGCGGUGCCGUUGCCUUGUUGUGCGGUGCGGGAUGGUGCUGUCAUGUUGACAUUUGCUUUCACAAUCACCGCAAAAUUGGCCCGCCUACACAAGUAUGACCAAUCAACGACAACAGCAGCAGCAAAUUUGCUUUGACAGAUCGCCACGACAAAUAUGUUGCACUUCUAUUGGUGCUUGCUAUCUGUAGUGCAGAAAGUUUGAAGUUUACAUACUUUCGGCACGUGGCUGCAAUUCGUCUGCACUGCACAUGUCAUUGUGAAUUGCCAUAUGGGUAUGCGUAUUUCAAGGCACCGCAUCGCAACAGCACUGCACUACCACCUAUCUGAAUGGGGCUUUACACUGUCAAAAUCAAAUUCUACCGAUCUACCGUAUUAAAACAAAACGGAAUUAGUUUCAAAUUUAUACAGCUCAUUAGAACCCAUCAUCGAACGAGUAUGGCGCAACAUUUUGUUCAAAGGCCAAAGGGUCAAUUGUACAUAUCGAGUUCGGUGGCGCCUAAUUUUAUACAUGGUACAAUAUGGAUCCAAAAUAACUUCUUUAAAACAAAUGAAGAUCUGGCUAACAUACUAAUGCCCGGUUACACAAAAGAUGAUUAAGAGUGAUUGAUUGCGAACUUAUUGAAUGACACAGAAGAACACCAUUCUGAGGAAGGCAAGAACUGAUCAUGACUAGCACUCGCAAAAGACGUCGCGUCGAAGCAAUGCCAUGGUGCGGCUGCGGCGAAAUCUUGCAGACUGUUCGAGAUGGGAGAUACACAAAAAUAAGUAUUGAACCUGCGCUUGGUGUGCAUUUAUUUUUUCGGCAUCUCACUGGAAAAAGGUUCUGUGGCACCCUGUACAACAACAACUUGCGGCUCAAAGUCAGAGUUCCAUUAUCGCAAAUAAAAUUGGUCCUUCUGCGACUUACCUACCCUUUUUUAACGAAGCAUGAAAUCUAACGAGUUUCUCACUACGUUAUUCCUAACGCACUACAAAUCAACACUUUCGUAGGCAAACUUUGCGCUAUUAUUUCCUCUUAUUGGUUUGAUGUACAGUUUCCAUUAUUAUCAGAAAAGAAAAACCAAAAGUUAUAGAAUUUAUUUCCUACAAUUGUGCUUGUAUAUAUGCGUUUUGUGUAAUAGGAUUAACCGUCAUAAUAGAAUCGUAUAAUUUUGCUAAAAACAUCGAUCUAAUAACAGGAUCGCCCCCUGCGUCUUCUGCUACGGCUUCUUCCCCGCGACGAGGAUCGACUUGAAGAAGAAGCACUUCGCUUCCUUCGCCGGCCUUUUCCCCGUUUUGAACCACCACGUGAAGAGGACCGACUCUUUGACGAACCACCCUUCCUCCUACGGCGAGCCUCAAUAAUGUCCAGCGAGACGUUGCCCAAGUAAUAUUUCUCCCCUGCUUUGCGUAUAGCGCCAAACUCAAUUCCGCUUUCUAGCAUUGGGAUAAUGUACUUUUCGUAUUUACUGGCCACACGAUAUUUGUCCGUGAGAAGGUUCCGCAAUUCCUCUUCAGACACGCCAUCAUUGGUUGACGAUUGCCUCAGGGCGCGUAAUAUCAAAUUGGAGACCUUAUUGGCGUUAGAAGACAUAGCUAAUGCAGUUUUCUGAUUUUGCGUGAAACACCGAAAUUUGUCACCUGAAAUUUGUUUACUAAACAAAACAAAAUUUGGGUUACUACAAAUAUCAAAAUGUAAUAAACGCUAUGCAAAUGUGUUUUGCAGAAGGCUGAGGCAUUGUGUUGUGUUACUAUGGUACGACCGUACAUUUGAGAGUGUUUGUUCCUUGGUUUCAUAAAACUUACGCCAAAGAACAAGAGGCAAUUGUGCACUUCGUGUUUGAAGCAGCACCAAUGGAACCAACGUGCAAAUCAUAAGAUUGACGAAUUGUAUAAGUCAUUAUAAGGAUCGUAUCAAGGCAUUGUGUAUAUUUGCGGACAACGGCCACAUUCCCCAUUUUUAUCUUCAUAGAAAAGAUGGAACUGGGGACUAUACGAUGGUAAGGGAUUUGGGCCAGGGGUACAGUAGCAUAACUAUACGUAAUGGAUAAGUCAUAUAUGGUCUAUGCUUCAAAACCAUUUUUCUCUUAGGUACAAUCUCAGAAAGAUAUGGUCCUGAAACGUGGAUAGAAUCUGCACAUUUUGAGAAACGAUUGAAACUCUUCCCUAUUCGAGGUAUUGCACAAUGUGUUAUCUUCUCCCUCCCGACACAUCUUACCCGCUUCUCUUUUGCUGACGGUAUGUUCCAAAAAACUAGUUCAUCUUGAAGAAAUUUGCUUCUGUCCUAAUACUCUAGCUAGACAAGUAUUGAAGAUAUGGUUACAAAUAUUCACCUCAAGAGGUACUGCCUAACAUUUUAUAAUGGUUUAAUUUGUUGUCCUUAAAUAUUCUCUAUUUCAUAGUAAUGGAGG